rnacentral:rRNA from 2 species
CUUGCACCUGAUUGAUUUUGGUCGCCAACGAGUGGCGGACGGGUGAGUAACACGUAGGUAACCUGCCCAGAAGCGGGGGACAACAUUUGGAAACAGAUGCUAAUACCGCAUAACAGCGUUGUUCGCAUGAACAACGCUUAAAAGAUGGCUUCUCGCUAUCACUUCUGGAUGGACCUGCGGUGCAUUAGCUUGUUGGUGGGGUAACGGCCUACCAAGGCGAUGAUGCAUAGCCGAGUUGAGAGACUGAUCGGCCACAAUGGGACUGAGACACGGCCCAUACUCCUACGGGAGGCAGCAGUAGGGAAUCUUCCACAAUGGGCGCAAGCCUGAUGGAGCAACACCGCGUGAGUGAAGAAGGGUUUCGGCUCGUAAAGCUCUGUUGUUAAAGAAGAACACGUAUGAGAGUAACUGUUCAUACGUUGACGGUAUUUAACCAGAAAGUCACGGCUAACUACGUGCCAGCAGCCGCGGUAAUACGUAGGUGGCAAGCGUUAUCCGGAUUUAUUGGGCGUAAAGAGAGUGCAGGCGGUUUUCUAAGUCUGAUGUGAAAGCCUUCGGCUUAACCGGAGAAGUGCAUCGGAAACUGGAUAACUUGAGUGCAGAAGAGGGUAGUGGAACUCCAUGUGUAGCGGUGGAAUGCGUAGAUAUAUGGAAGAACACCAGUGGCGAAGGCGGCUACCUGGUCUGCAACUGACGCUGAGACUCGAAAGCAUGGGUAGCGAACAGGAUUAGAUACCCUGGUAGUCCAUGCCGUAAACGAUGAGUGCUAGGUGUUGGAGGGUUUCCGCCCUUCAGUGCCGGAGCUAACGCAUUAAGCACUCCGCCUGGGGAGUACGACCGCAAGGUUGAAACUCAAAGGAAUUGACGGGGGCCCGCACAAGCGGUGGAGCAUGUGGUUUAAUUCGAAGCUACGCGAAGAACCUUACCAGGUCUUGACAUCUUGCGCCAACCCUAGAGAUAGGGCGUUUCCUUCGGGAACGCAAUGACAGGUGGUGCAUGGUCGUCGUCAGCUCGUGUCGUGAGAUGUUGGGUUAAGUCCCGCAACGAGCGCAACCCUUGUUACUAGUUGCCAGCAUUAAGUUGGGCACUCUAGUGAGACUGCCGGUGACAAACCGGAGGAAGGUGGGGACGACGUCAGAUCAUCAUGCCCCUUAUGACCUGGGCUACACACGUGCUACAAUGGACGGUACAACGAGUCGCGAACUCGCGAGGGCAAGCAAAUCUCUUAAAACCGUUCUCAGUUCGGACUGCAGGCUGCAACUCGCCUGCACGAAGUCGGAAUCGCUAGUAAUCGCGGAUCAGCAUGCCGCGGUGAAUACGUUCCCGGGCCUUGUACACACCGCCCGUCACACCAUGAGAGUUUGUAACAC